rfam:Citrus sinensis cultivar Ridge Pineapple sweet orange scaffold03692_contig_2, whole genome shotgun sequence.
CUGCCCCCUAGAGUUCCUCUAAACGCUUCAUUGGGGUCAUUUGGAGAAUAAGUUGUCGCCCUACUGAAGUGUUUGGGCGAACUCCGGGUGCCAC